AAAGAAGUGUAGUUUGGUUAAUACCUGAGCUACUUGACGGUACCCACAAAGGAAGCACCGGCUAACUCCGUGCCAGCAGCCGCGGUAAUACGGAGGGUGCGAGCGUUGUUCGGAAUUAUUGGGCGUAAAGCGCGUGUAGGCGGCUCCUUAAGUCUGAUGUGAAAGCCCCGGGCUCAACCUGGGAAGUGCAUUGGAAACUGGGGAACUUGAAUACGGGAGAGGGUAGUGGAAUUCCUGGUGUAGGAGUGAAAUCCGUAGAUAUCAGGAGGAACACCGGUGGCGAAGGCGGCUACCUGGACCGAUAUUGACGCUGAGACGCGAAAGCGUGGGNAGCAAACAGGAUUAGAUACCCUGGUAGUCCACGCCGUAAACGAUGAGUACUAGGUGUUGCGGGUAUUGACCCCUGCAGUGCCGCAGCUAACGCAUUAAGUACUCCGCCUGGGAAGUACGGUCGCAAGACUAAAACUCAAAGGAAUUGACG
rnacentral:rRNA from 1 species